rnacentral:lncRNA from 1 species
AUGGCACAGGUGAGAUCUCUGCAGAAAAUUAUGGCCUUUUUGUCCGCCAACAACACAGCUGCUGUGAACAACUCUGAUACUCGCCUGGAGGGCUGCUUCCUUCUUGGUAUCCCUGGGCUGGAGGACCUACACAUCUGGCUCUCCAUCCCCUUCUGCACCAUGUAUGUAGCUGCCCUGGCAGGCAACGGCAUUUUAAUUUGUGUCAUCCUCUCCCAGCCAAGCCUGCAUGAGCCCAUGUACAUAUUCCUGUCCAUGUUGGCCAGUACUGACGUCUUACUCUCCACAUCCACCAUGCCCAAAGCCCUGGCCAACUUCUGGCUAAGUUCUACCCACAUUUCCUUUGAUGGUUGCCUAACCCAGAUGUUCUUCAUCCACUUCCUUUUUGUGGCUGAGUCUGCAGUCCUCCUGGCCAUGGCCUUUGACCGCUAUGUGGCCAUCUGCUCCCCUUUGAGAUAUGCCACAAUCCUCACCAGCACAACCAUUGGGAAGAUCGUGGCUGCCACGCUAGCCCGCAGCUUCAUCAUCAUGUUUCCAUCCAUCUUUCUCCUCAAGCGCCUGCACUACUGCCGGGUCAAUAUCAUCGCGCACACAUUUUGUGAGCACAUGGGCAUUGCCCGUCUGUCCUGUUCUGAUAUCUCCAUCAAUGUCUGGUAUGGGUUGGCAGCUGCUCUGCUCUCCACUGGCCUGGACGUCAUCCUUAUUGCUGUUUCCUACAUUCACAUCCUCCGAGCUGUCUUCCACCUCUCCUCUCAAGAUGCCCGGUCCAAAGCCCUGAGCACUUGUGGCUCCCACAUCUGCGUCAUCCUACUCUUCUACAUCCCUGCCCUCUUUUCUGUCUUUGCCUAUAGGUUUGGGGGGAGACACAUCCCACGCUAUGUCCAUAUCCUCCUGGCCAAUCUCUAUGUGGUCAUCCCACCUAUGCUCAAUCCCAUUAUUUAUGGAGUGAGGACCAAGCAGAUUUUGGAAGGGGCUAAACAGCUGUUUUCAAUUUUUGUCAAAGAAUCUAAAUAA